CCUACGGGAGGCAGCAGUGGGGAAUAUUGGACAAUGGGCGCAAGCCUGAUCCAGCCAUACCGCGUGUGUGAAGAAGGCCUUUUGGUUGUAAAGCACUUUAAGCGAGGAGGAGGCUCUUGAGGAUAAUACCCUUGAUGAGUGGACGUUACUCGCAGAAUAAGCACCGGCUAACUCUGUGCCAGCAGCCGCGGUAAUACAGAGGGUGCGAGCGUUAAUCGGAAUUACUGGGCGUAAAGCGCGCGUAGGCGGCUUGUUAAGUCGGAUGUGAAAUCCCCGGGCUCAACCUGGGCACUGCAUUCGAUACUGGCAAGCUAGGGUAUGGGAGAGGAAGGUAGAAUUCCAGGUGUAGCGGUGAAAUGCGUAGAGAUCUGGAGGAAUACCGAUGGCGAAGGCAGCCUUCUGGCCUAAUACUGACGCUGAGGUGCGAAAGCAUGGGGAGCAAACAGGAUUAGAUACCCUGGUAGUCCAUGCCGUAAACGAUGUCAACUAGCCGUUGGGGACCUUGAGUCUUAGUGCGCAGCUAACGCGAUAAGUUGACCGCCUGGGGAGUACGGUCGCGAAGACUAAAACUCAAAUGAAUUGACGG
rnacentral:rRNA from 1 species